GCACAGGCGGUGGAUGAUGUGGUUUAAUUCGAUGCAACGCGAAAACCUUACCACCUUUGACAUGUACGGAAUCCUUUAGAGAUAGAGGAGUGCUCGAAAGAGAGCCGUAACACAGGUGCUGCAUGGCUGUCGUCAGCUCGUGUCGUGAGAUGUUGGGUUAAGUCCCGCAACGAGCGCAACCCUUGUCAUUAGUUGCUACAUUCAGUUGGGCACUCUAAUGAGACUGCCGGUGACAAACCGGAGGAAGGUGGGGAUGACGUCAAGUCCUCAUGGCCCUUAUAGGUGGGGCUACACACGUCAUACAAUGGCCGGUACAGAGGGUAGCCAACCCGCGAGGGGGAGCCAAUCCCACAAAGCCGGUCGUAGUCCGGAUCGCAGUCUGCAACUCGACUGCGUGAAGUCGGAAUCGCUAGUAAUCGCGGAUCAGCAUGUCGCGGUGAAUACGUUCCCGGGUCUU
rnacentral:rRNA from 1 species